rnacentral:lncRNA from 1 species
UUAUUGCCUCUAGGGCAUAUUUUCAACAAUUCCCUGCAAGAUCUUAACAAGUUUCUAUCUGCAAAAGCUCUUGAGAAGAUAGUGGAAAUAAUUUAACUCUUUAUCUGUUCAUUAGCUAUACACUAAAAGUAACUUGAUUUACUUGUUUACAUGGUAGCUUACUGGCCAACAUUGGCAGGUUCAGAAACAGUAAUUUGGUCAUUACCAUCAGACUGGCCUAAUCAUAGUCAGAUAAUUAAGGCCAUAGAUAUCUCAGCCAUUGGCAUUCACCCGCAUUCUCUAGCAAUCAAAUUGCAGCUCUGUUGUUUUCAAAAGAAAUUACAGCCUUGUUGCGCUCACGUUCUCACAACCAAACCC